rnacentral:lncRNA from 10 species
UUAAAUAAUCAGAACACAACUGCUCUCCUCAAUUAUCAUCAUUCUCAUUACUCAUUCCAUUUCUCUGGCUGGCAGCCUAUGGACCACUGGAAGGCCCGGCCAGGGGUGUGGUCAUCAGGACUUCCCAAAAGCACAUCUCCUUCCUCUGUGGCUUGACUGUGUGCCUCUCCUCUCGAGCUGCAACUGUACCAUGAGUCUCCCUUCCAGAUCAAAAGGAAGAUCCCGACCGCAGUCCUUUGGAAUAAGAUUUGCUAGUAUUCAAUGUUCUUUCUUGUGUCUCAACUCAUAUCCAUAUUUUCUUCUCAGAAUUCCAUAGGUUUAGCCCUUUGGGGGUUUUUACUUUUUUCUUCUUAUUUUUUAUACUGCCUGUUCCUACUUUAUGCUGUGUUUUACCCAUAUUUAUGUCAUUUUAAUCAGUUCCAUAAGACUGUGUUUGAACUCCCCACCUCCACUUGCUUUUGUUUUGGGUGAUGACUGUGCUGUCCACCUCUGCCACUUGUUUCAGGCCCUACUACUUUUUCCCUCCAAUGUUCCUUCUUUUGUGUCUGCCAUCUAUUAUUGCUGAAUACGUUAUUGUCGUUUUUGUCUUCUUAUUUUAUUUUCUCCUCUUCUUCCUUCAGUGGAUGUCUUGAGAUGUUCUUGCUUCUUAUGUUCCAUGUUUGCUGACAUAGGGCAAAACUAAGAAUCUGCGACAAGACAAGCUGCUUUUUCCUCUAUCAAAGCUGCCUUCAUCGGGCAGCUGUCCUUCAUUCUCAAUUACUUUAUCUACUCUUUUUUGCCUUUUUCACAUCCAACCUGUAAUCUAUAUUUUCCUUUCUUCAGCUAUAUCUUAAACUGUUAAAAUAGAGCCUGACAUGUAGUACACA